AAGGAAUUAGCUCAAUUGGUAGAGCAGUCGUUUUACACACGCAAGGUUAGGUGUUCAAGUCACCUAUUUUUUU
rnacentral:tRNA from 1 species